rnacentral:rRNA from 1 species
UACGGAGGAUGCAAGCGUUAUCCGGAAUGAUUGGGCGUAAAGCGUCCGCAGGUGGCUGUGUAAGUCUGCUGUUAAAGAGUCUAGCUCAACUAGAUACAAGCAGUGGAAACUACACGGCUAGAGUACGUUCGGGGCAGAGGGAAUUCCUGGUGUAGCGGUGAAAUGCGUAGAGAUCCGGAAGAACACCGGUGGCGAAGGCGGUGAGCUGGGCAGUAGCUGACACUGAGGCGCGACAGCGUGGGGAGCAAACAGG